CAGCCAUUCGGUGUGUCCUUGGCCGCCCUCGAGGUCGAGCAGCUUGACGGCGACGGGCUGCGCGGCGAGCCCCCGCUUGGUCUUGUCGUCGACGUAGCCCCUGUAGACGGGGCCGAAGCCGCCCUCGCCGAUGAAGUGGGUCAUGGAGAAGUCGCGGGUGACGGCGCGCAGCUCGGCGAUGGUGAAGACGUGGAGGUUGGAGCCGACGAGCGAGAGCGACAGGUCCUCGGGCGACACCAUCCCGCUGAGGCUCAGCUCCGUGAACGACAUCCGGCUCUGCAGCGACCGCGGCCGGCUACCGCCGCCGCUCCCCGCCGCUACCUUCUGCUGCUGCUUGCUCUUCUGCUUCUUCUUCAUCUUAUUCCCGGCGCCCUUUCCCUUGCCCUUGCCCUGCUUCUUCUUACCGUCCCCGCGGGAGCUGCUGCUGCUGCUGAAGCAGCCGAACAGCGAGCCCCACCCCGGCCUCGCCAUGCCCGGCCGGCCGCGUCUAGUCUAGGUCGGUUGGUCGGUCGCCGGAUGGAGAUGGAGGGACUCCGCGCGCUGCGACGGUUU
rnacentral:misc_RNA from 1 species